rnacentral:lncRNA from 1 species
UGGGGGGGUUGUCGAUCGAAGGUUGAGUCAUGCUCCGAUUGGAGAUUUUAUGUUGAGAAAAAUAUCUCAAGAUUCGAUUCAUAAUAAGUUCAUAACAAGGUCCAGAAUGACGAACGAAGUCCAAUGAGUCCAAAAACAGUCCAAACGGAGUUCGAAUGGAGAAGAUAUGCACGAAAGAACCUAAGAGCCGUUGGUACGACCUACGAGAUGUCGGA